UACGAAGGGUGCAAGCGUUACUCGGAAUUACUGGGCGUAAAGCGUGCGUAGGUGGUUCGUUAAGUCUGAUGUGAAAGCCCUGGGCUCAACCUGGGAAUUGCAUUGGAUACUGGCGAGCUAGAGUGCGGUAGAGGAUGGCGGAAUUCCCGGUGUAGCAGUGAAAUGCGUAGAGAUCGGGAGGAACAUCCGUGGCGAAGGCGGCCAUCUGGACCAGCACUGACACUGAGGCACGAAAGCGUGGGGAGCAAACAGGG
rnacentral:rRNA from 1 species